CGGUCACUCUUCUCUUGUUGGAUUUAAUGGCCUUUGUUGCAUUGAUUCUAUUAUCAAAUUAUUAUGUAUUCAUCUGUUUGUUCUUCUUUAUCCACUGCUUUGUUUGAUGCCAAGUUGUUUGUUUAAAAGUCUUUGAUAAUUUGUCCAGCAUAUGAGUCCCCGUGUUUGUCCUUUUUGGUUGCUCCUCAAAUGUUUGGUUUAUUGCCUACCAGCCUUGUGUCUUUCAGCUGUUGGUUUCCUCCUUCGUGUUUUGCCACUGCGCCUGAACUAUUUGGAUGUCCAUUGUCAGCCUUUGGUCUGGUAUUCCAAUGCUCCCCUUAUCCCAUCUCAUUGUUGUUCAAUGUCAAAUAGUCGAACAAGGAAACUAGUUGGAUUUGCUUUGUCAUCCUUUGGUCUGGUAUUCCAAUUUUCCCUUGUCUUUUGUCAAAUACUCCUAUCUUUUGUCAAAUACUCCUAGUUUCUCUUGUCAAAUAGUUCAACCAGUGCGAUGUUUCUUUCCACCAAAUUUUUAAAGAAAAGAAGAAAAGAAAAAGAAAUCAAAAAAAUCAUAUAUCUGCAAUCCCUUGAUGAACAGUGCAUUUGUAUUAAGGGUGCACCGAGCCGGACCGUCCCGGAAUCGGUGAAAUCGUACCUGUUUUUGUACCGAACCGAAGAAGGAGGUACAUGUAUCGGUCCAAAAAAUAGGAACCGAGACUAAGCAGGUACACGGUCCUGUCCUGGUCCUGUACCGUCCCGGACCGAAUGUACCGAGUAGUAGUAGCCGUUAGAUUUAGGGGUAUUAAUCAUAGCCAUUAGAUUUAGGGGUGGUAUAUAUAGAGAACAAUAAGGCUAGGCCGCUAGGUUUUUUUUUCUCCGUCUUCUCUCUCUGAGAAGGAACUCCAUUAGAUUUACAGAGUUUACUUCUGAAUCUUCUCUUCUCCAUAGGACUUCAACUCCACAAACACCAGUUACACUUAUACCACCUCUCGAUCGAGAAGAAGAAGGAGAAAUUGUUAACCAAGGGGUUAUAUCACGCCAAGGAGAAGACGAAGGGAAAGGAUUCAAGGAACCAUCCAACUCAGAAAUUGUUAACCAAGGCUGUACUUGGUCCUAUCAACAAUAAUGCCACCACCACCGGUGCUGCUCCCAUGGAAUAAUGCCACCAGUGCUACUUGUUACAUUUUUACCACCACUGUCCAGUGACAGUCAUUGCUACAGCUACUUGUUACUUUUACUUUUUUGCUACUUGUUAAGGCUACUGUUUAAUUGUGUGUGAGUGACUGUGUCCGUCAGUCUUUGACUCUUUUGCUACUUGUUAGUUGUUACCUUUUCAUUUUUUCAAGACUUGGUAUUUGAGACUUUUCUUCGCUAGUAUUACUAUUAUUGCUACUUUUUGUUAGUUGUUAGUUGUUAUGUAUUGUGCUUUAAGAUA